GCGUCAGACGCACAUUGGGUAGUGCAGCGGUCUGUAAAACCGUCGCCUUCGGGCAUUGGGGGUUCAAGUCCCUCCUGACGCA
rnacentral:tRNA from 1 species